rnacentral:rRNA from 1 species
CCUACGGGAGGCAGCAGUGAGGAAUAUUGGUCAAUGGGCGGGAGCCUGAACCAGCCAAGCCGCGUGAGGGAAGAAGGUACAGCGUAUCGUAAACCUCUUUUGUCAGGGAACAAAGGCGGGGACUAGUCCCCGGAUGAUGGUACCUGAAGAAAAAGCAUCGGCUAACUCCGUGCCAGCAGCCGCGGUAAUACGGAGGAUGCGAUCGUUAUCCGGAUUUAUUGGGGUUAAAGGGUGCGCAGGGGGCGUGUUAAGUCAGCGGUAAAAGCCCGGGGCUCAACCCCGGCGAGAGGUGGACACUGGGGGGCGGGAGUGGGAGAGAGGGAGGGGGAAGGCGGGGGGUAGCGGUGAAAGGCGUAGAUAUGGGGCAGAA